rnacentral:rRNA from 1 species
CCUANGGGGGGCAGCAGUGGGGAAUCUUGCGCAAUGGGCGAAAGCCUGACGCAGCAACGCCGCGUGCGGGAUGAAGGCCCUCGGGUUGUAAACCGCUUUCAGCAGGGACGAAGAUGACGGUACCUGCAGAAGAAGCCCCGGCCAACUACGUGCCAGCAGCCGCGGUAACACGUAGGGGGCGAGCGUUGUCCGGAUUUAUUGGGCGUAAAGAGCUCGUAGGCGGUUCCGUCAGUCGGGUGUGAAAACUCUGGGCUCAACCCAGAGACGCCACCCGAUACUGCGGUGACUAGAGUCCGGUAGGGGAGUGCGGAAUUCCUGGUGUAGCGGUGAAAUGCGCAGAUAUCAGGAGGAACACCAACGGCGAAGGCAGCACUCUGGGCCGGUACUGACGCUGAGGAGCGAAAGCGUGGGGAGCGAACAGGAUUAGAUACCCCGNUANUC